rnacentral:rRNA from 1 species
AACGAACGCUGGCGGCAUGCCUAACACAUGCAAGUCGAACGAACCCUUCGGGGUGAGUGGCGCACGGGUGCGUAACACGUGGGAACCUGCCCUUAGGUUCGGAAUAACACAGAGAAAUUUGUGCUAAUACCGGAUAAUGUCUUCGGACCAAAGAUUUAUCGCCUUUGGAUGGGCCCGCGUAGGAUUAGCUAGUUGGUGAGGUAAAGGCUCACCAAGGCGACGAUCCUUAGCUGGUCUUAGAGGAUGAUCAGCCACACUGGGACUGAGACACGGCCCAGACUCCUACGGGAGGCAGCAGUGGGGAAUAUUGGACAAUGGGCGAAAGCCUGAUCCAGCAAUGCCGCGUGAGUGAUGAAGGCCUUAGGGUUGUAAAGCUCUUUUACCUGGGAUGAUAAUGACGGUACCAGGAGAAUAAGCCCCGGCUAACUCCGUGCCAGCAGCCGCAGUAAGAC